UUGGACCUAGGAUGCUUCUAGAGAUGAAAUGCUGUAUGGCCAGAGAGCUUCUUCACCAGUUGGUUGAGUUUGGCUUUUCUUUCUGUAUGUGACUAUUGGUCUACUUGUGAAUUCUCUACCUAGUAUUGCCAAGGACCUGGCAGAAGCAAUUUUCCUUCUUCAUAUAACAGAACAGAUAACCCUUUUUGUUAAGGUAAAUAGAAACCAGGGUUUCCAUGGGCCAUCAACGCAUGUCAAGUCAAAAGCUCUUUCUGCUCUGAAAUAUACAGUCCGUUCCCUUUUUGCUACAGCUCUACGUAAGAGACAUGGAACUCAUUUGGAUGCAGUUCAAAUAACAAUGUCACUUUCUGACUGCCUCAAGGAUCUGACAGGAGGAAUUGAGUAUGCUGCCAAGAUAUUAAAUGAAAUUCCCCAGAAAGACAUUCAGUGCACUAAAAGAGCCUCAAAGGCAGAAAGGGAAGGAAAUGGGCAAGACAUAGUUUUACUGGAGAAGCUGAGGAGAGGUUUGCCAGCCAAGAGUACCUUCUACCAUCUGCUUGUCCAAUAUUUCCAGGUGCCAGCAGCAUCCCAGCAGGCUCAGUGCACAUGCAGCUGUGAGAUGGUUCUUGUCCAUCACCCAUUCAUACAAUGGCAGCAAGUUUUGCUCCUGUUAGAGGAUUCUGUUUGGGAUUUCCCACCCUUGCUUUGUUUGGAUCAGGUCUGAGACACUGGGCCAACUACAGAUAAAUAAACUCAGAUGUGAAAACUCUUACUGAGGCUUUUUUCACACUGAAACUGAGGUAAAAAGCCUUGUUGAGGGACAAGGACUAUUAGACAGUGCUCGGUGCUGGGGUAAUAUGCUUAUGUACUUUCCAACUAGCUUGGAGCAUGGUCAGAGCAAGCUUAGUCUGCUCACAAAGUACUGUGUGGCUAUCCUUUAGAGUAUAAGAAUAAACUCAUUUCUCUCUAACAGUCAGGGAUUGAAAGUCAGAAGAACGAUUCUUCUCACGGAACAAGAAUGCUUAACAUUUUUGUUCUGUAUUUAAAUUUCAAUUUUUUAAAUGUGAAAUGCUAGAUGGGAAGAGUCUGUGGGGAUUACGGGGAUUUGGCAUUUGUUCAACUGGAUUAAAAGCCUUUAUUGUUUUAAUUCAUCUGUGCCUUCACGACUUGUGUAGCCUGAGAACAGAAGCCCUAAAAAUGUGUUAGGAGAUCACUGGAAUAGCUGUCAUCUUUGAUUCAUGACUAAAAGAUGUUUAAGCCC
rnacentral:lncRNA from 7 species